GUGCUCACUUCAACAGCACAUAUACUAAUAUUGGAACGAUAUAGAGAAGAUUAACAUGGCCCCUAUACAAGGAUGUCACACAAAUUCAUGAAGUGCUCCAUAUUUAA